rnacentral:lncRNA from 1 species
CUACGUCGGGGUGCUGGGUUGGGUAGAAGCACUCUGAAUUGUUAUGCUUAGAGAAAGGAGUGGGAGCCACUCAAAGGUUCUGCACUCCGAGGCCACAGGGAUGUUAGAAAGAAAGAACUGGUAGUUUUGUUUGUUUUUGCUCGUGCAAAGUCCGAGCUGAGGAAGCCCUUUUGGGGGUGGAACACAUGCGCAAAGUGGGAUUAGCUGUACUUGAUUAUAAGUAAAUGAGGGGCAACGGGCAAAGAAAACCAUGCACGGGCCCAGCACCCACCCCUCCCACCCAGCUUUCGCUCCUAACGCCUCCUCACUUUCCCCCCCUGAGGUCCUGUGCUCCCGGGCCCGGGGACCUUUUGGGGCUUCACCUGGCGUGGCGCCCAAUCCUCGGGCCUGUGCACUAACUCCCGCGGGCCCGGCUGCGAGCGCGGCAGUGCCAGGGGCUCGAAGUCUGUCUGCAGAGACGUGGGCGCCUCCCUCGACCAGCUCCAGGCCACGGCCACAAGCCCCCGAACUCCAGGGAUCGCCGCCACCUCCACAUCUGCAGGCCUGGGCCUCGGCUUCGCCUCCGGCUGCUCCCCGGGGCUUCUCUCUGGCUUGCACUCGGCCUGUCAAGGCUCCAGGG